CUAGCUUCCCAAAAGUUUCGGGCUCAAAAUAUUGUUGACAAAAGACAAGACAAAAAUUGGAAGACAUAGUAUUUCAUUCAGUGGAGAGGCUAUGACAAACAGGGUGACACAUGGCAACCGGAACAGAACUUCGUAAACUGUAAGAAAUAUUAUGACUUUAACAGAAAAAAAAAAAAAAAAAAAGACGUGGACGAGAAUGAGCAGAAGUUUUUCAAACAAUACCAGAAAAGGAACGUUUGGAUCUACCUUCACCAACUUUUCUAAGUACGUUUCUAAAAUGCUAAUGACUCGCAAACACCACACAUCCAAACACAGCCAGAUGUAUGCUGCUGGCCACAACAUUAGGAUGAAUGCAGCUUUACCUUUCUUUGACCCAAAAAUAUGAAGCUAGGAAGUUAACCUCUCAAGACACUUGCACUUCAGAGCCCAUUUAACAGCAAGAACUCAGUGAGUGGCUUUCUGGAACUCUGGAAACUGGACCCUAUUGUGUCACAUCAGCUGGACAUGGUGGUGCACAAGAUGGCAGCAGAGAAGCAUAUCAGAGAUUUAUCAGAUUCCAGUGCAGAAGAGGCUGGAAGUAAGGAUAGGUCCCACAUACACCCACUAAUGUCUCUGGUGUCUGGCUCGAUUAACACUUCCAUGGUUACAGGCUCAGCUAACAAGGAAGGUACAUUGGCAUUAACGAAUUCAUUAACAGCCAAUGGGACAAAAAACAUUCAUAUAGCUGUUUGAAGAGGGAGAGAUGGGAAAAUAAAGAUUAUUGAUGAUUGAAAAAAACAGCCUUUUAUCAAAAGGAUGUACUUUACACUAAGGUUAACAGAAAAUGCCAGCAGAUUCAGAGACAUUGUGGUGAGGAAAGAGAGCUUCAUUACCCAAAAAUUACUAUCAACUAGAUUGACAGAGAAUACCUCACUAAAUACAGAGGGGAUGAAAGAAAUUGAGAAUGCCCUGAAUAGGGUUGCUGUGGAUGACAGGAAAUUUGUGCUCCUUGCUCAGUGCAGCCGGCAGUGUCCUUUGCUGUGGUCUUGAUUUUGUGUGCAUUUAAGAAAUGACAGGAAGAGAUCAAGCAUUGAAAUGGGGGACACCACAAAGACCUGGUACAUAGUUUUAUUCAGUUUAAGAAAUCUAUUUUUGCAUCAGGCAGUAGCAUGGUAAUUUGACUAGGUGCGUCCAUAUUGCCUCUUUGUGAUUUGCUUUGGGGCUAACAGAAAGGCUUGGCUUGAAACUUCUUUUACGACAUUUGGACAGAGUUCAGGUGGCUGUUCUAUCAUUACAUUUCCCAAGAUGCUGGGUGGAGCAUCAGCCAGUGAAAUGUGGUUUGGUGGGAGAAAGCUGACAGCACUGGAUGCAUGUGCCAAGGGCCUGGUCUCUUAAGUGUCUUGGACUGAAAAUUUCACACAAGAGGUUAUGAUCCAAAUUAAAGAGCUUUCCUCUUGUAAUCCAGUUGUUCUGGAGAAAGGUAAGGCCUUUGUUCGCUGUAAAAUUAAAAUGAUGUUGGAACAGGCCAAGGAGAGAGUGUGAAAUGCUGAAAAAAAGUCUGAGCCUCAGCGCAAGGGAUAGAAUCCAUGGUCAACUAUGUACAAAGAAAAAUUGAUGAGUUCUAA
rnacentral:lncRNA from 1 species